CAGUAGCCGCGGGAAUACGAAGGGUGCAAGCGUUACUCGGAAUUACUGGGCGUAAAGCGUGCGUAGGUGGUGGUUUAAGUCCGUUGUGAAAGCCCUGGGCUCAACCUGGGAAUUGCAGUGGAUACUGGGUCACUAGAGUGUGGUAGAGGAUAGUGGGAUUUCCGGUGUAGCAGUGAAAUGCGUAGAGAUCGGAAGGAACAUCUGUGGCGAAGGCGACUAUCUGGGCCAACACUGACACUGAGGCACGAAAGCGUGGGGAGCAAACAGGAUUAGAUACCCCAGUAGUCCCUGUCUCUUAUCU
rnacentral:rRNA from 1 species